rnacentral:rRNA from 1 species
UUUCCCGUAAGGCGCCGAAUGAGUCAUUAAAAAAUUAACAUCAUCCGAUCCCUAGUCGGCAUAGUUUAUGGUUAAGACUACGACGGUAUCUGAUCGUCUUCGAUCCCCUAACUUUCGUUCUUGAUUAAUGAAAACAUCCUUGGCAAAUGCUUUCGCAGUAGUUAGUCUCCAAUAAAUCCAAGAAUUUCACCUCUGACAAUUGAAUACUAAUGCCCCCAACUAUCCCUAUUAAUCAUUACGUCGAUCCUAGAAACCAACAAAAUAAAAUCAAACGUCCUAUUUCGUUAUUCCAUGCUAAUGUAUUCAAGCGUGAGCCUGCUUUAAACACUCUAAUUUUUUCAAAGUAACAGUCCUGAUUCCCCAAAACACCAAAUUAAUGGCAUUAUGAUUCGUCAGAAAGGAGAAACCAAUAAUACCAGUACGUACAAAAGCACGACCAGUAAACCGGUCUCGAAAUUCAACUACGAGCUUUUUAACUGCAACAACUUUAAUAUACGCUAUUGGAGCUGGAAUUACCGCGGCUGC